rfam:Parcubacteria (Moranbacteria) bacterium GW2011_GWC2_40_12 TT79_C0001, whole genome shotgun sequence.
CCUGUCACGCCUCUUAACAAUGCGAAACCGACAGGU